GGGGGGAGGCAGAAGUGUCUCCCGGACGUGGGUGUGCACAAUGCCUCCGCUGCGCUGCAAUAGGCCCAGGGUUGUCCUCUCGAUCCGCCCCCUGGCCGAGAGCGCCUUAUAUUCGGCGCCGCAGGUGCAGACAGCCUUUUCUUCGCGGAGCUGGCGGCCGAGUUUGGAUGUUUGUCCAUCAGCACGUAUAUCGGGUAUGAGAGAGCGCCGAAUACCUCGGCCGCACUGAGCUGGGGAGGAUGGGGACCGCCGCGCUCUUUGGCCGAUGGAAGCGGAACGAAGUGCCGUUAGGAGCCCGAGUGCGGCCGCAUGGCGUUGUGUGGAGCCCUGGUCGAGACGAGGGUUGUCCGGCCCAGGGGCCGGGUGGGUCUCUGCGCCAGCAGGCCUAGGCCUGCGGGGGAGGUGGAAAACCGCUCGAAUUGCGGCUAAUCGUCAGUGUUUUCCUCUGACAGUGGCUGAGCCAUGGAGCAGAGUGGAAUCGAGUGCAUACACAGGUGGAAAUGGCGUGGAUUUGUCUUCCUCCGAAGACAGUAGCUGUGGCCAAUUUGCAAGUUACUAGGCUUAGAAGAGUCUGAAGAUGCACAUUGAACACAAGCUACUCUUAGACCCUGAUUUGUACGGAAGUCAUUUGUAUCAGUUUGGUUGGAAAGGAUGGCGAUCAAAAGGAAGAGGGUGUAUACACCGCAAAUGGUGAGGUUGCUGGCUGAACCCCAACAACACAAAUUAGGUUUUGAAAAAUACAAUUUACAAGAUAAUAUACGAAAGUGAAAUGAACACCAUCUCUUAAGAAUGGGCCACUAUGAUCUAGCUGUGUUUGGCUUGUUAAUCAGACCUUGUUGGCAGUUCAGUGAUGUUUGAGUGUAGCAAGGAUCCUGGACCAUAUGAAGGCAUCUUGUUUCUGUUCUUGGAACUGAGUUUAACUUACAAAUUUGAACUGUAAAUGCUCAGAUGUCACACUUUUAUAAAUUGAUCCAAGAUUGUUUAAUGUCAUUUCCAGUAUGCACAAAAAAUAACACAAAUGCAGAGAAAAACACAAUCGUUUUAAAAAAAAAACCUGGGUAUGUAGUACAUAGAUCACUUGUAUGCAACAUUCGCUUGAAUUUGUAACAACCAGUGUGUGCAGAAAUCUUGUGCUGCCAAUUUUUUGCCUAGUGGCAUGUGUGCAUGGCAUUUUUAAAGUGGAAGUAAACCUGAAGCUAUUUUAAGGAUAAUAAGCUACCAAGUCCAUUUUGUUCGUUGUUUAAAAGAAAUAAAAUAAUACACAUC